UACGUAGGGGGCUAGCGUUGUCCGGAAUCAUUGGGCGUAAAGAGCUCGUAGGCGGCUUAGCAAGUCGGGUGUGAAAACUCCAGGCUCAACCUGGAGACGCCACCCGAUACUGCUAUGGCUAGAGUCCGGUAGGGGACCACGGAAUUCCUGGUGUAGCGGUGAAAUGCGCAGAUAUCAGGAGGAACACCGGUGGCGAAGGCGGUGGUCUGGGCCGGAACUGACGCUGAGGAGCGAAAGCGUGGGGAGCGAACAGG
rnacentral:rRNA from 1 species